rnacentral:rRNA from 1 species
UACAGAGGUCCCAAGCGUUGUUCGGAUUCACUGGGCGUAAAGGGUGCGUAGGUGGCAGGAUAAGUUUGAUGUGAAAUCUCCGGGCUUAACCCGGAAACUGCAUUGAAUACUAUUUUGCUCGAGGGUUGGAGGGGGGACUGGAAUUCUCGGUGUAGCAGUGAAAUGCGUAGAUAUCGAGGGGAACACCAGUGGCGAAGGCGAGUCCCUGGACAACUCCUGACACUGAGGCACGAAAGCUAGGGGAGCAAACAGG